CAAGUGAGAAUCUACUUUUUGAAACAAGUUGAAAAAAAGCAUUUGUCUACAAAAGAACAUCAGGCCUUUCUAUUGCUUGAGACACAACAAUAUUGAAAUUAGGCAAAUUGAUAGCCCUACAAUGGCCUCUAAGUGUUCACGUGAAAAGAAGAAUCACAGACCUCUCAUUUGAAAUUCAUGUUGUUUUCAUGCCUGCUAACACAACAUCCAUUCUGCAGCGCAUGGAUCAAGGGUUAAUUUUGAUUUUCAAUGUUAUUAUUUAAAUAUAUUUCAUAAUGCUAUGGCUGCCAUAGAUAGUGAUUCCAUUAAUGGAUCUGAAAUUGAAGGAGUCUGGAAGAAGCUGAUUCCAACCCUCAUAGAUCACUUUGAGGGCUUCAAGAUUUCAGUGGAGAGAGUAACUGCAGAUGUGGUAGAAAUAGCAAGAAAAUUUAAAUUUUAUGUAGAGCCUGAAGACAUGACUGAAUUGCUGCAAUCUAAUGGUAA
rnacentral:lncRNA from 10 species